rnacentral:rRNA from 1 species
UAGCGGCAGGCUNAAUACAUGCAAGUCAAGGGGGUAGCAAUACAACCGGCGCACGGGUGAGUAACGCGUACACAACAUGCCAUAUACUGGGGUAUAGCUUUGGGAAACUGAAGGUAAUCCCCCAUAACAUUGCGAGAGGGCAUCUGAUUGCAAUUAAAGUUUCGACGGUAUAUGAUUGGUGUGCGUUUGAUUAGCUAGUUGGUAGGGUAACGGCCUACCAAGGCGACGAUCAAUAGCUGGCGUGAGAGCGCGACCAGCCACACUGGAACUGAGACACGGUCCAGACUCCUACGGGAGGCAGCAGUAGGGAAUAUUGGACAAUGGGCGAAAGCCUGAUCCAGCCAUGCCGCGUGAUAGAUGAAGGCCCUCUGGGUUGUAAAUAUC